rnacentral:lncRNA from 1 species
GUAAGGUCACGGUGUGGAGGGUGGCUCCUGGCAAGGGCAGAGGAGGCUUGGCAGGGUGUAGGUCAUCGAGUUUACAGCACAGUUUACAGAGCUGGGCUCUGCCAGCAUGGAAUGCAGCAUUCCUACAGCUGAUAUAACACAUCGGCCAGGAAAUACCAAAAGCUGAAGAUGGACCCGUUACAAACAGCCUAACCAGCCUCAGAUGUCCCUUCAAUAUUGGAAAAUGCAAGGUAAUAGAGAGCACAUGGGUCCUGUAAAUAAUGAGAUUAUUAACAAAUACGCAGAAAUAAAGCCAUUUGGCUGCUUCAGUGAGACACUGAAGCCACUGAUUCCAGCUGAAAUCCCUUAAUUGCCCCCUCUUGCCCUGUAAGGGCUGCUUUUCCUGCAGCCGGUCAGAGCUGGGUUUUGCAUCUCAUAGGUGCUUCAUCCCACGCUUUCCUCCUGCAGAAGGGCUGGGGAGAGGCUGGGGCAGAAUGGAGACACUGAUGCUGCAGGAUGCAGGAGAAGGGGGGCUGCCAAGGGAGUGGGGCAGAGAUGGGAGCUGCCUCUACCCCUGCUCACCCACCCGAGCACCUCCUGCUGCUUCAGUAACCCACGGGGCCAAUAUAAACGCAUGCAUUCCUGGCUCGAAAACUGACGAGGACAUUUCUUUGCUCUGGGAUAAGUCAAGACUUGACUAGAUUUAAACUUGGCUCCGCGGAGGACGUGCAGCUAUUGACGGCCUGAAAGAAAUUAGGCCAAGAAAACAAAACAGAAACAACUGGGAAUGGUUGCAGCUCUCCGUCUGCUGCUUUGCUU